rnacentral:lncRNA from 1 species
GCAGAAGAUGUCAAUGCAGCCUUCAGAAAGGCAGCGGACGGACCACUUAAGGGCAUAUUGGCAGUGUGCGACGUUCCUCUUGUGUCUGUGGACUUCAGGUGCACUGAUGUUUCCUCCACCAUUGACUCCUCCUUGACCAUGGUCAUGGGUGAUGAUAUGGUCAAGGUGGUGGCCUGGUACGACAACGAAUGGGGAUACAGGUGAGGUCACUAGUUACCAAUCUUCAAAGAGUUUUCCAUUAAACAAAGCUAAUGUUGCAUCGAAUGCCAAAUCUAGUUCGCUCUUCACUAUUUAUGCGAUUGAGUCUUGAUCUUUCAUGUCGAUUAUUAUUUUUCGCAGCCAAAGGGUUGUGGAUUUGGCACAUUUGGUUGCAAGCAAGUGGCCAGGCGCCGCAGUAGCGGGAAGCGGAGACCCAUUGGAGGAUUUCUGCCAGACAAACCCGGCAGACGAGGAGUGCAAAGUCUAUGAAGCAUAGACUAAUGUUUUCGGCAGGGUUUAGCAGCAUUUGUUAUCAGCAAAUGCUUAAUUUGUAAUGACAACUGAGGAGGGGGAACAAAAUCAUCAAGU